GUCUAUAUUGCGUCCGUCGGUCCAAAACCAAUGUUGCACGUCUACACGACAUGCAAACAAGGUCUGCUAUUUGGACAUCUAACCAUGACCCUAUGUGGAUGUCAUAAUGUAGUUCAACAUUUGAACGUCGGACUAGGUAACUUUUUUGGACGUCUAAGACACGUGCAGAAAAUUGACAUUAUGGAUGUAAUAUUUUUUAUUUAAGACAAAUAUCAACAUGGUUAAUGAUUAUGAAUAUAGGUUAUUUGUGAUGAAACAGUAAACAGUAUCUGUUAUUUGAUUAUUUAUUUAUUGAGUACAUGUUUUAAAUUUUCCUGUUUUUCCUCUAAUUUUCUGGUUUAUUUUGUGACUGGACCGCAGUUUUUUUCUACAUCGUUGUGUUUAAUGUGUUAGAUGUUAUCAAGAAAAUUCUAACUUUUGAGUUAGCCGAAAGCAAAUAUAUUGCGGCAGUGGACUCGUCGAGUUGUAGGCUGUGUGGUACACGACCGUUAUGAUUUGAACCAGUCAACGCCACUCUGAUUGGCUGAGGCAGCAAGUCAUCAUAACCAAACCAGUAAACGCCACUCUGAUAAGCCGAGGCAACACGCCAAGCAUUCGGCACGUAUACUUCUGAAGCAAGUGGACGACGUUCGGCUCUGUUCAGCUAAAGCAAAAUCAUCGUUUUCCACUCAGUUGAAGGUGCUGCAAAUUGCAAGAAUUGGAGGGAAGAACACCAAGGACUGUGUCCACAAUGUCCUUGACAGGAAUGUUUCUACAUACAGUAUGAAUUGUGUGUGACGUGUGGGUGAUCUGUGGUUUUCAAUGUCUGAACAAUGCAUCGGUUCAUUUGUCGUUUUUUCUUGCUUAACUCUUGUCCACCCCUUGGUAAUUUUUUUUGCAUUUUUCAAUUAAAAAUACUCCAUUUCAAGUUCACAACACAAUGCAUUGUGAGCUUAUAGACCAGCUUUUCAGGGACAAGGAGAUAUGUUGUAUGAGGAAUAAAAGGAGGGGACCACUGUAGAAGACACUACUCGACGUAGUAUAAAGGGUUUAUGACAUGCAUAAUGUUAUUCCUACAUAUAUCAUUUACAUUGAAUUAUAAAUGUUAUCUAUUUUCUUUAGGCUCUUCACUUGAGCCCUGAUGGCGCAAUUCAGUAUGAAGGGGAAGGGAAAAAGGGCAUGAAACAUUUGGAGAAGACACAGGUGUGUAGAGCAAUGAAAGAUGGAGUCAUGAAAUUUGAUGACACAGCCACAGAGGACUUCAUGGGGAUGAACGCUUCAGAACAUCUGAAGCAUGCACCGCAAAGAAGUGUAGGACAUGCAGCAGCCACUCAGGACUGAUUAUCCACUGUGGUGCAUCUUGUCAUAGUUUUGUUUACACAGCUUUUGUACAUUGUCUUCUUUUCUGUGUUCAGUAUAGUUGCUUAUGGUUGGAUUCUUACCUCAAAACACUGUAAUUAUUUUCUUAUUUUUAUUUUACCCUCAGUGUUGAUUUUAGAAAGUUAACUGUUCUGCUGGGUUAAGAUGGGGGUUAAUGAAUCCAUCAAUCCUUUUCUAUUACUGGUAGUUUCACUUUCAUUUUAGUUUCGGCAGACAAUCAAAGGUAAAGCAUGUUGGCUUCAACUGAUACACAACAUCGAAGUGAUGUCUGCAUGCAAGCCAUUCAAUUCACGUUCCUUGUUUUUACUGGUAGUUGGCAGGGAAUUCAACAAGUCAAAGCUUUAUUAGUGACAUGUUUGUGAAAGUGAAUAAAAAUAAAGAUGGAAAUAAAUGA